GUCGAAAGGGUUUAGACCCUUGGCAGACGAGGUAGUAACACGUAGGAACGUCCCCCAAAGUCGGGCAUAACUAGUCGAAAGAUUAGAUAAUUCCCGAUACGUCGCAAGAUGAAAGAUUUAUCGCUCUGGGAGCGGCCUGCGUAAUAUCAGCUAGUUGGUGAGGUAGUGGCUCACCAAGGCUAUGACGUUUAGGGGACCUGAGAGGGUGACCCCCACCGAUGAGACUGAGACACGGCUCAUACCCCUACGGGGGGCCGCAGCCGAGAAUAUUCGACAAUGGGCGAAAGCCUGAUCGAGCGAUACCGCGUGAUGGAUGAAGUGCUUCGGCACGUAAACAUCUUUUGUAGGGGAAGAAGUCAUUGACACUACCCUAAGAAUAAGGGGCUCCUAACUCUGUGCCAGCAGGAGCGGUAAUACAGAGGCCCCAAGCGUUACCCGGAAUUACUGGGCGUAAAGAGUGCGUAGGUGGUCGUAUUAGUCGUCCGUUAAAACCCAGGGCCUAACCCUGGACAUGCGGGCGAGACGGUACGACUCGAGGGAGUGAGAGGUGCAUGGAACUCUAGGUGUAGGGGUGAAAUCCGUUGAUAUCUAGGGGAACACCGAAAGCGAAGGCAAUGCACUGGCACUUUCCUGACACUCAAGCACGAAAGCGUGGGUAGCGAACGGGAUUAGAUACCCCGGUAGUCCACGCCCUAAACGAUGAUGACUGGCUUUUCGGAGUAUCGACCCUCUGAGAGGCGAAGCUAACGCGUUAAGUCAUCCGCCUGGGUAGUACGGCCGCAAGGCUAAAACUCAAAGGAAUAGACGGGAGCUUGCACAAGUGGUGGAGCGUGUGGCUCAAUUCGUCGCUAAGCGAAGAACCUUACCAGGGCUAGAAAUCCUACUGCACGCCUGUCGAAAGAUAGGAAGCCUUCGAGGGUGUAGGACAGGUGAUGCAUGGCUGUCGUCAGUUCGUGAUUUGAAUCGUUCCCUUCAGUGGGGUAACGAACGCAACCCUCGUUGCCUGUUACACGUAUCAGGCGAGACUGCCCCCUCACGGGGGAGGAAGGUGGGGAUGACGCCAAGUCAGCAUGUCCCUCUGAUGUCCUGGGCUGCACACGCGCUACAAUCGCCGUUACAAAAGGGCGCAAUGGGGUAACCCGGAGCAAAUCCCAAAAAGCGGCGCCAGUUCGGAUUGAGGUCUGCAACCCGACCUCAUGAAGCCGGAAUCACUAGUAAUCGUGGGUCAGCCAUACCACGGUGAAUACGUUCUCAAGCUUUGUACUCACCGCCCGUCAACUCAGGGAAGUUGGGAGUGCCCGAAAGACAUCCUUGCGAUGUACCAAGGCAAACUCAAUGACAAAGAGUAGGU
rnacentral:rRNA from 1 species